rnacentral:rRNA from 1 species
UGACCGCUGGCGGCGUGCCUACUACAUGCAAGUCGAGCGAACGGACGCGAAGCUUGCUUCUCUGAUGUUAGCGGCGGACGGGUGAGUAACACGUGGAUAACCUACCUAUAAGACUGGGAUAACUUCGGGAAACCGGAGCUAAUACCGGAUGAUAUUUUGAACCGCAUGGUUCAAAAGUGAAAGACGGUCUUGCUGUCACUUAUAGAUGGAUCCGCGCUGCAUUAGCUAGUUGGUAAGGUAACGGCUUACCAAGGCAACGAUGCAUAGCCGACCUGAGAGGGUGAUCGGCCACACUGGAACUGAGACACGGUCCAGACUCCUACGGGAGGCAGCAGUAGGGAAUCUUCCGCAAUGGGCGAAAGCCUGACGGAGCAACGCCGCGUGAGUGAUGAAGGUCUUCGGAUCGUAAAACUCUGUUAUUAGGGAAGAACAUAUGUGUAAGUAACUGUGCACAUCUUGACGGUACCUAAUCAGAAAGCCACGGCUAACUACGUG